UAGCAAGUCGAACGAGACCUUCGGGUCUAGUGGCGCACGGGUGCGUAACACGUGGGAAUUUGCCUCGGGGUAUGGAAUAACUCAGGGAAACUUGAGCUAAUACCAUAUAAUGUCUUCGGCCAAAAGAUUUAUCGCCCUGAGAUAAGCCCGCGUAGGAUUAGCUAGUUGGUGAGGUAAAGGCUCACCAAGCCGACGAUCUGUAGCUGGUCUGAGAGGACGACCAGCCACACUGGGACUGAGACACGGCCCAGACUCCUACGGGAGGCAGCAGUGGGGAAUUUUGGACAAUGGGCGCAAGCCUGAUCCAGCAAUGCCGCGUGCAGGAUGAAGGCCUUCGGGUUGUAAACUGCUUUUGUACGGAACGAAACGGUGAGCUCUAAUACAGUUUGCUAAUGACGGUACCGUAAGAAUAAGGACCGGCUAACUUCGUG
rnacentral:rRNA from 1 species